GAGUCUCCCUCAAUUUGCCAUGUUUCGUGCCUUACACACGUGUCCAACACCACCGCAUCUCAUCUGCUCAUCCCUCUCUUCACUCUUAUCCCUUCCCCCAAGACCCAAACCCUUUCCAUUCUCUCUCAACAAUCUCAUAUGAGAACUUAUAUCUCUUCCUCAGUUUUCCUUCGUUGUUGGUUACGGCGGUGAUUGGCGAUGAUGAUGACGGAAAUGGUUUUACCUGGAGGCGAAUCCAACAACAUCGAGUGGCUACGAAAUCAGAUCGGCAAAAGUGGAUUCGAGCUACAGAGAUGACCGAAGUUGAUUUAAGACGAGGUAAGAAUUUUGCUUAGGGUUACUCAGAGGUUUGGCAUCGACAUUGUGGUGCAGGCACUAGAGUUGUUUUCUGGCAAACAAACUCGAGACGGAUUACGGUGUUGAAGCAAUUGAAUCGUCUUGUCAACAUUUUGAUUGGAAGAGUCAAAAUGUACCUUCUCUAUGUGUGAUAAGAGUAUUUGAUGAUUCAUAUUGAUUGCGAUCGUAUUAUGGUGAAGAACAAAAGGAUUCAAAUGAAAGAGAUCAUACGAAUUGCUGCUGAUGUGGCGGAAGGGAUCAAGUUCAUGAAUGAUCAUGGUGUUGCUUACAAAGACCUUAACACAAAGUGGAUUUUGUUUGAUAAAAAUGGGACUCUGUGUUUAGGGGAUAUAGGUAUCGUUGCCGCUUGCAAAAAUGUCGUGAAGCUAUGGAAUACGAAACCGAUGGUUACCGUUGGCUUGCUCACGAGAUCAUCGCGGGUGAUCCAAAAACAGUCAACAGAGACGUGGAUGAGCAACGUGUUUAGUUUCGGAAUGAUGGUAUGGGAGAUGAUGAAAGGGGAGGCAGCGUAUGCUACACUCCCUCCCACACAUUUGAUAUUAGCCACUUUGAUUGGUUUGCUAAUAUUAUGAGUGUUGUUAACUCAAAAAACCCGACGACAUCAAUGAGUUGAAUUGUCGGUAAAUGGAAGACCUGGGCUGGCAGUGCGUUGAGCUAUACAAAUUUGUAAGUAGCAAAAUAACUAUUUAGCUUGACAAUUUUUUUUUUUGGUUGAGUGUCAGUUUCAAGUGGAUUCCACCAUUCUUCAAGUAUGACAGAUGUGGUUCAACAUUCAGCUAUACUUGCUAAACAGGUUCUAUAGGUUAGAUGUGCAAAAAUACAUAUUGCUAAACAGGUUCUAAGAAUUUUGUGCUGUAUUGAAACUGAAGAGUGUUUUGAAAAUCAGAUUCAUAUCUUUUCUUCUCAUUGUAGGAUUCGGAUGAAUAUGAGAUGUAGUUAAACUUGUCCGGUUUUUAAAAGAUUGACUUUUUACUUUAAAUUCUGUAAAUUAACAUGUGGUUUGAUAUGCUUCAGGGGAGAAACUACCUUUAUAUGCUAUCCAAAAAACUGUAGAGAGUGAAUUCAGUUACAACACGGAGCCUUCUUUUGCUUUCUUGGAAUCUAUGCUCCUUACAGGGGUAGUGUUUGAAAGCUUACUACUUUAAUCUGUGGUUGAUAUCACUUUAAGCUAAGACAAUUAUAUCUUAUUGUUAUGUUAUGUUUAAAGCGGGAGGAUCGCGUGGAGAGAGGGUUGUUUCGCUAUGAUGUUACUGUGGCAUCAAAUCUUAAAGUGGCCAUUUUCAUGCAUGCAUGGUUUUCUAACAAAUUAACCAAUCAAUCUGAAACAUAAUUAACUUAUUUGCAACUUGCAAUAUUAGUUAUUGCCUACCUAAUUAUAUAGUUAUUGAACAGGUGAUUCCAGGAGAUGAUUAUGAGUGUAUAUCUCAAUUAAACGAGGGUCGCCACCGCAAAAAAGCGCCCAACUGAGUUUCAAGUGGAUAGUUCUUCAGCCAUUUGAUGGGAGCAAGUACAGCUUCAGUAUAUAGUUGGGCUACUAAGAUGUUGAAGUUGAUGAAUUAAAUACAAGAAUAAGGUGGAAUGUUUUGAUUGUGGACAUUAGAAGUAUCUUAGAAGGUCUUAUUGAGUCAUUUUUGCUCUUCUUUUUGUUUGUUUUUUCCGUUUUUUGUUCGUAACAUCUAUUACGAAAUGCUUUGAUAUUCGCGUCA